rnacentral:rRNA from 1 species
UGUGGUGACGAUGGCGAGAAGGAUACACCUGUUCCCAUGUCGAACACAGAAGUUAAGCUUCUUAGCGCCGAGAGUAGUUGGGGGAUCGCUCCCUGC